UACGGAGGGUGCAAGCAUUAAUCGGAUUUAUUGGGCGUAAAGGGCGCGUAGGCGGGUUUGUAAGUCAGAUGUGAAAUUCCGAAGCUCAACUUCGGAGCUGCAUUUGAAACUACAAGUCUAGAGGAGUGGCGGAGAAAAUGGAAUUCCACGUGUAGCGGUGAAAUGGGUAGAUAUGUGGAAGAACACCUGUGGCGAAAGCGGUUUUCUAGCUUAUUCCUGUCGCUGAGGCGCGAGAGCAAGUGGAGCAAACAGG
rnacentral:rRNA from 1 species